AUCAUCAAGCCAUUUCAAGAUCUCGUCACGCUUGACGGCAUCAGAUCCUGACAGACUCUUUCCCUUGUGAUCAAUCAAUGGCCCAACAUUGAAAAUAGGUGGUAUAUCAUCUCUAGCCAAAAGAGCACUAACUGCAUGGGACUCAGCUUCUGAAAAUGUAUUAACAAUGAUACCGUUGGAGUCCUUAAACUCUCUUCCAUGGUUUGCCAAAGCCUCAUAUUCCACAUCGGUGUGCAAUACCGGCAUAACACGGUAAGGCACGGGAUUUGAAUAACAGGGGAUGAUAUAGUCAGGGUCAGUAGGGCUAAACUUAGGCUCACCCUUGUCUUCUCUAUCUGAAAGGUAAAGCGUCAUGGCAAGAAAGGCAGCAUCAGAAGUGAAAAAAACAUGAGAAGGGACACCAAGUUCUUUUGCAACAUCAAUAAAUACAGUGCAAAACAUAUCAACAACAACACUAGCAAUUGGUGCAGGGUUGUGGGCCAUGACUAGGUUAACAAUAGUAUCUUUCACAAGGGUUUUGUGAUCAUUGAUGUAAGAAGUAAAAGCACUUGCAGGGCUUACAGCUAAAGCUUCUGGAGGAGGUGUAGGUAUGGUAUCAGGAAUUUCGACGAACCUGAUUUCUGUAUGAAUUGAAGCAAGCGAUUCGGUGUUCUUGCUUAUGCCACCGUAAAAUGGAUUGUUGAUGGCAAGCAUGGUUAUCAAGAAACUGUCGUUUCUCUCAAGAACCAUCUUUGCUAACUGAACAGCUGCUACAAGGUGGCCAAAUCCAGGUGCAGGGACAAAGACUAGCUGUGUUUUCUUCAUUUUGGAGGUUUUGAAUGUUCAAUAUGGUGAUCCUUGUUUGCUUUAUAAGGGGCUCAAGGUCAAUGCCACAAUGCCAGCUGUUAUGAUUUUUUUUUUCUCUAAAUUAAUCAUCAAAUUGGAUAUGACAAUUAUUAUUACAAAGAUUGAUUUCAUAGAAAAAUUUUCCUGUAAUAUUUUUAAACAAUUCAAAUUAAAUAAAAGAAAAGAAAGCUAGGUUUCAUUUUAUUUUGAAGUUAUAUUUUUAAUAUAUAUAUAUAUAUAUAUAUAUAUAUAUAUAAACUAAACUAAACUAAAAAUAUUAUUUUAUUUUUAAUAAAUAAAAUUAAAUAAAUAUAUUUGUUUAACAACAUUCAUCUAUCCCAUAAGAUAUCAUUUAUCUUUAUUACAAAAAAUUAUAGAUGAUUUACUAGAAUGAUUUAAUUAAGUAUAACUUGAUUAAAAUAUAUAAUAGAAAUUAAGGAUUAGAAUAUAAUUAAUACAAGGAUUAUAUUUCUAUAUCUAGAAAAAUCAAGUAAGGAUUUAAUUGAUUAUAUUUUUAAAAUUACCCUUACAUAAUAUAUGGAUAUUUUUAAAAUUAUCUUUACAUAAUAUAUGGAUAUUAUUUAAAGGCAAAUAUAUAUAUAUAAUCAUUUAUACGGUUUUGAGAUUUUCUAUAAUUAUAAAGUUAAGCCUAUUAUUUUGUAAGUAAAAAAAUAAUGAUUGUCUAUUUUAUAAAAAAACUACGUAAAAACAAUAUUAGAGCUAGCACUCUAGGCAUAACAAUCUCUCUUUUCUAAAUAGAGAUUUAAGAGAUUUCUCACGGGUAGUUUGUAUGGAUUAUCAUUAGAGACCGAAUAAUUUAACGAUUUGUGGUUUGCGACAACCCAACUUUUAAAGAAUAAUUUAAAAUAAAUAAAUUAAAUAUUCAAAUAAUAAAUCUUUAAAUAAUUUUAAAUCUAAUCUACAUGAUAUAAGAACAACUUAAUAUAUUCAAUCAUGCGAAUUCUUUGUAGUUUUUAAUGUAUCAAAAUGGAUUUAAUAAUACCUUACUAUUAAAAAGAAGAAGAAGUCAACAACAAUGAUUGAUUGUGAUUGCAUUUAAUAGCUAGACAGUUACAUGGCUAGAAAGAAUCCAAAGAUAAUAUAUAAUAAAUGGCAAUUUCGUAGGAAUUGCUGAAGUGUUAAAUUGUGGAUGAAGUUUUUGAUGAAUUUUUAUUUUAUUCUAUUGUACUUUUCAUCAUUGGUAGUUAUUUAUGAAAAUAUUAUAUCACUAUUUAUAUCAAAAUUAUUGACGCAAAAAUUCUAUCACUGUUAUCUUCUAAAAUUAUUGAUGAAAAAUUUAUCAUUGACAUUUCUGAUUUUAUUUAUUAAUUUUCUGGUAAUAAUAAUAAUCUUAUGCUCAGAUUUAUAAUUUUAUAAUUUAAAAAAUAGAAUUGAUAUCUGAAACUUAAAAGAAGAUUAAACCUUUCAUUUUUUAAUUAUAUGAAGUAUUGAUAAUACAACUAAUCAAACAUAAACUAACAAUCAUUUAAACAAAAUUUAAGAAUUUAUGGUAGAAUUGCAUAAAUUAAUUUUAAAAAUUACUUUUUAUAAAUUUUUAUCAAGUAAUUCUACAAUCAAUUCCUAAAGCCUAACAAUCAUUUAAACAAAAUUUAAAAAUUGAGGAUAGAAUUACUUAAUUGGUAAAAAAUUAUGAAAAUAAGCGAACUUUGCUAAAAUCAUGUAUAUUCAUCCUUAUGAUUAAAUGACAUUUAAAUGUCUAAAGUAAAGAAUACCUUCAUCUAGCCAAAACAAAAUUCAGGGAUCUUCUACAAUGAAGACGCUAUCGUUUCAUGCACACAUCAUAUAUAAACGAGAAAUUCAAAUCAACAUAAUAUAUAUAUAUAUAUAUAUAUAUAUAUAUAUAUAUAUAUAUAUAUAUAUAUAUAUAUAUAUGUCCAACUAUUCUAAUGGCACUAAUUUUCAACUACUAAUGAAAAAAAAUAUUAAAAAGUAAUUUUUUAUAUUUUUUAAAUUAAUUUAGAUAUUAAUUAAAAUAAAGUAUACAAUAUUAAGAUUAUUCAAAAUGUUAGUCUCACUUCAUGCAUAAACUAAUAUGAGCUUAUCUUUUAAUGUAUCAUGAAUGAUUUUAUUUUAUUGGUGUGGGUUUUUUUUAUAUAAUUCUGGAUAUUUUAACUACUUUAUGUGUAACUCAAUUAAGUUUUUAAAAUUCUAAAUUUUACAACCAUGUAAUGUGUAUUGAUGGGGCAGGCAGGGAGGUGACUGUUUCUGGAGGGACGGGUGCUUGUAAAUUGGAUAGUGAGGGGUCGACAAGCCAUGGCCAUAAGCAAAAAGAUAAAGGACGAGGAGGGAGAAAAAAAAAUUGUGCAUAAUUUGUGGAGCACGGUGGGACAGGGAUAAUAAUUUAAUAUGAGACUUUUGAAUAUUAACCGAAAACCUACUUCUUUAUUGAAUAUUCAAAAAAAAUAAACCAAAAUGAUACAUUUAUUUAUAUAUAUAUAAUAAAAAAAAACACACACACGGAUAUAUCCAUAUAAAUACCAAACAUUACCGGAAUUAAUAAUUUUAGAGACAAUAUUUUUUUUUUGUUAGUAUUUAUACCAACAAUCCAUUGGUAUAAAAUUUAUCGAUAAAUUUAUAAAAAGAAUUCAUUUGCUAGUAAAAAAAAAACACCAAUGUUUUUACAAAUAAAAAGUUUGUAUAAAAGAAAUCACUUGUUUUAAUACUUUAAUGGAAUUAUUUUGUUAGUGAUUGAUAAUGGUAUUUAUUGUAAUUUUAUUUCAAUUCUUUAUAAAAUAUUAAUGGAAUUAUUUUCAUUCAUGAUGUAAUAAUAUUGAAGUGACAUAUAAAGUAAAUUGUUCCCCUUACCUUUGGAAUAUAUUGAGUUACUACGGGUUGUGUCCAUUGAUACAUCCGUCUGCAAGAGUUAAAAAAAUGCCCUUUUCUUUUAGUACAAUUAUGUUUUUUGUUAGUUUUUAUUUUUCACAUUCUAACCCUGGCGCCAUUAGAAAAAGAUAUGUCUCCACCACAAAACUAGGCAAAAAUAUGACGGGGUGCCUUUAAGUUUGUAUUUCAUGGCUAUGAUCUAAAUCUGGUUUGCCAAAAACUUCGUGAGCAAAGUAAAAUUGGCGUAACAACUGAAUUUAGGCCAAGUUUCAAAUUUUUGUUUACUUUUCUGAAAGUUUUGAUUUAUGGUUUCCAAUUUUCCAAGUCAAAUUUAUGGUUGAUACAAACUAAGCAAGGUAAUUUAAGAAGUUUUUUGCAAAACACGAGAAGGGACCCCAAGUUCUUUUGCAACAUCAAUAAAGGCAGUGCAAAACAUAUCAACAACAACACUAGCAAUUGGUGCAGGGUUGGGGGCGCCAUGACUAGGUUAACAAUAGUAUCUUUCACAAGGGUUUUGUGAUCAUUGAUGUAAGAAGUAAAAGCACUUGCAGGGCUUACAGCUAAAGCUUCUGGAGGAGGUGUAGGUAUGGUAUCAGGAAUUUCGACGAACCUGAUUUCUGUAUGAAUUGAAGCAAGCGAUUCGGUGUUCUUGCUUAUGCCACCGUAAAAUGGAUUGUUGAUGGCAAGCAUUGUUAUUGAAGAAACAAAGAGAAAGAAGAAUCUUAUUUUCAUAUCAAUUCUGUUAGAGCAGCAUAGGUAUGUAUACAAUGGAUACGAUGGAUUUCUGUUACAGCAGAGAAAGAUGACUAUUAAUUCUCCUACAUUCAUGGUCAUAUCAGAAUCUGUCUCUAUUUACUACUAUCCUAUCAAUUGUAUACAGAGCAAUAGCAAUAUUGCAGUAGGGAGCAAGUUCUGCAACUGGUGUUGGAGUUAAACUAAAACUCUGCAAUUUGUUUUGGAGCCGGACUCUGCAAUGUGAUCUAUAGUAGGACUUUGCAAUCGUGUUAGAGUGAGAAUCUGUUGCUUUCCUUCAUUACUCCCCCUCAAGCUGGAUUAAGGGGGUUGAUUGAGUCAGGUUUGGAUAAUAGACGAUAGAAGUGAGCUGAAGUUAGAACCUUUAUAAAUACAUCAGCUAGUUGAUGGUGACUGUGGAUGUAACAUGGUUUGAUAAUCUGCGAUAGAAUUUAUUGACGAAUAAAAUGAUAAUCAACUUUAAUGUGUUUAGUUUUUUGGUGAAAUACAUAAUUAGUUGUAAUAUGCAUAGCAACUUGAUUAUCACAAAACAUAGUCAAUGGAAUAUUGCUAGAAAAUUCCAGAUCUGACAGAAAACCUUUAAGCCAAAUUAAUUCACAAGCUGCGAACAUCAUCACAUGAUAUUCAGCUUUAGCACUAGAACGUGCACCAACAUGUUGCUUUUACUACGCUAGGCGACUGAAUUACCACCAAUAAACAUGCAAAAACCAGUGGUUUCUUAACAUAGCUAUGCAACAGAUAACACUCUGUGAGAUCAAAACGUUUUAGAAACAUGCAUGUGUAUUAUUAAAGCUCUAGUUUUUUCUAAAAGUCUCUGUUUUUACAUUCAGCUAUUUUAUUUUGUUGAGGUGUGCCAACAUAGUUGGAAUAGACCCUUGGAUGGUGGUUUCUGAAUGGAUCAUAAGAACUUUUGCGCACUCUAUUCGAGCCCAUUUGUUAUGUCUUUUAAUUGAGGUUCACCAAAGUAUGUGGUUUGCUAACUUAACUGCUGACACAAGAUGACAAUUUUUUGCUGCAGGAAUUAACACUAGCUGUGGUUUCUUCAUUCCAAUAAUAACUGUAGGAAAAAGGUGAAUGUUAAGUUUGUCGGUAUAAGAUCCAAUCUAGUUUGACAGGUUAAUUUGAUGAUUCAUUUAUUCAAAAUUUAGCUUGAUAGGUUAACUUGGUGACCAGGUCAACACAAUGAUUCACUGACUCUGAGCUUGGCUUGGCUGAGUUAGCAAAAAAACCAAGUAUAUUUUAUUUACCAAAACAACGAUGUUGUUUAAGUUUUUUUUUUAAAAAAAAAAGCUUGGGAUGAAUUGAAUCAAACCAUCAAUCUACAGCCCCACCUUGCGUAGAGUAGACUCCUCAGUCAAGUAUUAUAAUUAUGGUUAUGUGUGAACUAUAAAAUAGAAAGAAAUGACAAGUUGAUCUCUCUUUAGAAAAAAGGAAGAUGAAUUGCCUACGGUAGUGAAGAAUUCAUGUCUAACUUAUAUAGCUGGGUUAGUUGUGGAUUUUUCAUGACUAAACUACGUGGAUUGUCUAACAGAGUUAUUUAUUGAUCAACAAGACAUGGCUAAGUUCAAGAAGAGGCUUGGGCUAAGUACAGUGCUCGGUUUGACAAAAAAAAUCCCAUAAUUCUUCAUAUAUUCUUUUAAUCACUCACAAAUUUAGUUAGGAAAUUCCAAAGAUUGAGACCCAAAAAUUCUUUAAAUUAGGCUUAGAAGGAGCUCAUCAAGUUAGAUUUGUUAUUUUUUAUUAUUAUUUUAAACUUUUUAGUUUGGUUAGAACUUUUAUUGCUUGGUAUUUUAUGAUUAGGACUUUUAGUUUCAUUUCUUGUUUACGUCAAUUUUUUAUAUUUAUUUAAAUAAUUAUAAAUAUAUUAAAAGAUACAAACUAUUGAAGAGAAAAUAUGCAGUAAUAAAUUUUUAAAUUAAAAUUUUUAUGUCGGUAUUCUACAAAAUUUAACGGGUUUGUGUUUCAUGUUUUUUUUUUUAUUAUUAUUAUUAUCCCCCGCAUCACUUACUUCCAAAUGAUGGUGUGAUAGCUGAAGCCAAUCAGUGAUGAUCUACUGGUGGAGGAAGCAAAUAUCACUUGCUUUUGUGUGGGGUGAAGAACAAGAUGCAUACCCCCUCGCACGUCACUACACAUGUAAGCAAGUUGGCAUUUGUUGGUGUGAUAGAUUUUAAUGCUAUAAAACAAAAGGAAGAAAAGAAAAGAAAAGGUGCGGUCAUUCCAUAAGGCCUCAACGUUAAUUAACUUCAUCAGAACUAAUUAAUGUUGGAUAGGAAAUAGAUCACUACAACAUGACCAAAUCAAACAAACUAUAUAUAUAUAUGAUAAUGACUUUAACUUAAUUUAAUUUGAGGAAUGAAAUUAAGCCACAGUAGGAAUUGAUGAUCAUUGAUGGAAUCAACAUGGUAGAUAAGGCUUAAGCUCUUCGAGGUUUGCUUCCUAACCAUUGAUCAAUCAAGUUUCCAAAAGCAACAUACGAAGAUCCACCCUCCAUCACAGCUUUCUUCGCCAUUUCACUGGUUUCUUUGGCCUUGUUCCUAAGUUCACCACCAUGUUCCAUCACGGUUUUCACAGCUUUUGUUAUCACCUCCGCCUUCACAAAAUCUGUAGGACAAUCUCUCCUAAAAUCCAACGUCAAUUCCACUGCUAAUCCCAAGUCUUUCACCAGCUGAAAUGCAUUCAUGUGUUGCUCAGCAUGCAAUGGCCAAGUUAUAAUAGGCACAGCAUACCACAAGGUCUCCAAAGUUGAGUUCCAUCCACAGUGUGAUACGAAAGCGCCUACUGCUUUAUGUGCCAAGAUUUCUACUUGUGGUGCCCAUCCACAUAGCAUCCCAAUAUUUUUAGUUCUUUCCAAGAAUCCCUGUGGCAAGAUCUCUCCAUAGUUGUCAAAAAAACUAGCUUGCAGCUUCCCCUUGGAGGGUUUCAACCGAAUUGACCAUAAGAACCUCUGUCCACUCCUCUCGAGCCCGAUUGCAAUUUCUUUCAACUGAGCUUCAUCAAAGCAUCCUCUACUCCCGAAGCACAAGAACACCACUGAUUUUUCAGGUUGAUCAUCAAGCCAUUUCAAGAUCUCGUCACGCUUGACGGCAUCGGAUCCUGACAGACUCUUUCCCCUGUGAUCAAUCAAUGGCCCAACAUUGAAAAUAGGUGGUAUAUCAUCUCUAGCCAAAAGAGCACUAACUGCAUGGGACUCAGCUUCUGAAAAUGUAUUAACAAUGAUACCGUUCGACUCCUUAAACUUUCUUCCAUGGUUUGCAAUAGCCUCAUAUGCCACAUCGGUGUGCAAUAACGGCAUAACACGGUAAGGCACGGGAUUUGAAUAACAGGGGAUGAUAUAGUCAGGGUCAGUAGGGCUAAACUUAGGCUCACCCUUGUCUUCUCUAUCUGAAAGGUAAAGCGUCAAGGCAAGAAAGGCAGCAUCACAAGUGUAAAAAACAUGAGAAGGGACCCCAAGUUCUUUGGAAACAUCAAUAAAUGCAGUGCAAAACAUAUCAACAACAACACUAGCAAUUGGUGCAGGGUUGUGGGCCAUGACUAG
rnacentral:lncRNA from 1 species